rnacentral:lncRNA from 1 species
CAAACUUUAGGUGGUUCCAGUAUGGAGCUUUAGAUAUUGAAUCAAAAGCUAUUUGUCGUCCAUAUCAAAAUCUGCGAUUGUUUUAAGUUGAAUGCAUAUAGUCUUUAUAUCUCAAAAUCCUCUUUGCUUUUGAAAAUGACUUCAUGAGAACAUUUUCUCAAAAAAAAUAAAAAUGACUUCAUGAGAACAUGAUCAUAAAAUCAGCACCUAUAUAAAUAUCAAAGAUUAGAAAGAAUUGGAAGAGCAGACUUAAAUUAGCUAACUUGGAAGUUGGAUGCUUUCGAUUUCAUUAAAUUGGAAGCUUUCAAGAUUAUUUUCUGCUGAGAUAUAGUACCUAAUUUAUUUUGACCAUGAUGUCAAAACUAAUUCAUGGAUAGAUAGGAAAGUGAAGUACUUCCAUUUCUCAACUUCUGACUGUAUUUCAUGUCAAAAAUCAGUUUUAUGCUUGGUUUCUUACAGUUAUAGCUUUUGAAG